rnacentral:tRNA from 10 species
AUGUCCUAAGUGUUACGGUAGCACGGAAGGCUCCAACCCUUCAAGCGUGGGUUCGACUCCUACAGGACAUGC